rnacentral:rRNA from 1 species
CGGAACAGUGGCGAACGGGUGAGUAACACGUGGGUGAUCUGCCCUGCACUUCGGGAUAAGCCUGGGAAACUGGGUCUAAUACCGGAUAUGACCUCAGGAUGCAUGUUCUGGGGUGGAAAGCUUUUGCGGUGUGGGAUGGGCCCGCGGCCUAUCAGCUUGUUGGUGGGGUUAAGGCCUACCAAGGCGACGACGGGUAGCCGGCCUGAGAGGGUGUCCGGCCACACUGGGACUGAGAUACGGCCCAGACUCC